GCGGGCACGGCCCCCGGGUGGCCUAUCAGAACAUCAGAGGGGAGCAGCAGCAACCUGCUCACAGACAUUAACAACAACCCUACUCAGAAGAUGGUUCUGAUAGGCUACUGGGGGGCCAUGCACCCCGGGUGAGAAUCACUGGGGGAAGGGGGAUGGAGAAGGCUACAGAGAAGGAAGGGUGAGCAGAUGGAGGAGGUGUCAGAGUCAUGACUGUCAGACUUGGGAGGAAAGGUCCUGUCAGGCAGGAGGAAGACAGUGAGCAACUGGAUGCAGUGCAGGAGGAAGGUGUGAGGAAGGGUCCUGUCAGGCAGGAGGAAGACAGUGAGCAACUGGAUGCAGUGCAGGAGGGUGUGAGGAAGGGUGAGAGCUGUGAGAGGGUUUCCUGUCAGGGGCAGGGAGAGCACUGCCCACUGUGCUUCCUGUACUGACAAAGGUGGGUUCCAAAUGUGACUGGUUGUCCAUGGGGAGACAGAAGCAGAGGAUAAUGGAGUUUGCAGUGCAUAGGAGCUCAUGGUGGGAGAUGAUUGCUGAGGCCGGAGAGGGAUUCAGGGACUAGAGUACCAAGUCAGGUGUUUCUUUGGGGUGAUGGAAGAAGACAAAAACAUUAGGGUUGGAAUAAGGUAGUAGAAUCCUGGGCAGGUCCUUAAGAGUGCUUUCAGAAGGAUCUGAAAGAAUAAAUGUAGAAGGUUGGGUAUGGUGGCACAUGCCCAAAACCUCCAAUCUCAGGAGGCUAAGGGUAUAGAAUGUCAUGCUGAAGGUUAGUCUGCCAUACAUAGCAAGACUCUGUCUCAUAAAGAUGUAAAAGGGACAUCUAAAAGAGGGAGGGGAGCCAUGGUUGUUGGGAGUCAGAAACAACACGCAUUUUGUAGGCAUAGGGUGGUAUGCCUGAGAGGCUGGGUAGAAUGUGUGGGUUUGGUGAAGUCUGUCUAAUGAAAAAAGUACUGAAUAUAUUUUCAUUUGUUGGGAGUGAGUAAGGUUCAGGGAACAUCUUUAGCAGAGAAGAUUGUCAUCAAAAUAGCAUAGCUAGCAUGGUCUGGGAUGAAUUCAUGUGAUAGAAGGACUCAGUGGAGCUGGUUGGGAACAGGGUGGCAAUAAUUGCAACAGUUAAGGGGAAGUUAGGAAUCCAGUAGACAUAAAGGGGAAAAUUCCUGGGUCCAUGGGGCCACUGGGAGCUAGAACUGGAUAUGGAGAGGAACUGGAGCUUCCCUAGGAAGCACAAUGUGUGAAAACACAGGAGAUGGCUGUGCAAGGGUUACAUUCAGAUUCAGGGUAAGAGGAGGCACGCUGGGGGUGAUGGCAUGGCAAUGUGUCAAGGGAGAGUCAAGCUGGGUCAGUGUAGCUGGUGGGAAACAGAAGAGGGUGCAUCUUAGAAGAGAACUUUGUGGGUUUGUGGUAGUUUCAGCAACAGUCAGGGGGCAAAAAUAAAAAAACAAAACAGAAAAGUAGAUUGCAGAGUUUCCUAAUGGGAACAUUGGCAGAUCUCAGGGGACAGAUUUAUAGGAAUGAUGGUAUUAAUGUCAGAUUUCAGAAGAGAAAAAUGGAAGCAAAGGCCUGGGUACUUAUAGAAUGGAACUGUACGGUGUUUUAGCAAAGGGACAAGAGUGGCUUGAAUUAAUUAGAGGAAACCAGGUGAGGUACACCUUAUUGACUCCUGCAUAGAGAGUCUGUUAGGCCACCUCAGAAAUGUGGGACUGGACUCCUGGAGAGAAUCCAGUAUUAGUGUGGAUAUAGGAUGUGUGAGACUGGUGGAGGCACAGCUGGGUACCAAUGCGGAACAGCCACUUCGUAGUUGACCUCUGAACCUGUGUUUCCACUGUUCAUGAUUGGCUGAAAAGAGAGAGGUGUGUUGUACAACAGAGGCUAUGCAGGGGACAGGAGACGUAGUGAAAUUGGGCAGAGGGCGCAUAACUCUGCAGGGUUGUAGACUUAGUGCACAAAGUAAAUAGAGAAGACAGAAGUGCAAAGGAGGGUCAAUUAGAUGGCUUCCUUUUUGGAAUGGAGAGCAGAUCAGAAUGGAAACUGGGGCUUGUGGAAGAGGGCUUUAAAGUCGCAUCCCUAUUGUGGAGGUAGGUACAGGCUAGAUAUGAAAGAAGAUGGGUGAUCUAGAUAAUCUUAUAACUGUUCAUAGGCAAGUACAACUGACAAAGAUUGCAUUUAGCUUAGGGAAUCCUUUUAUGGAGAAGUGCAAGUUAGAUAGGAAAAGAACAGGAAGUCAGCUGUAAUGAAUGGUCUGUGCUUCUUUUUGAAAGGAAAGAAGAGGAAUAAGCUGGUGUGAGAGGGUGAAAAAAAAAAAAGGCAGCCUUGAGUUAGGUAUAAAGUAGGA